UCAAACCUGCCCCAUGAGCCUUGCUAGGAGC
rnacentral:piRNA from 1 species